GACGAACGCUGGCGGCGUGCUUAACACAUGCAAGUCGAACGGUAAGGCCCUGCCUUUGUGGGGUGCUCGAGUUGCGAACGGGUGAGUAACACGUGAGUAACCUGCCCUUGACUGUGGGAUAACUACAGGAAACGGGGGCUAAUACCGGAUAGUAUCUCCUGCUGCAUGGUGGUGGGUGGAAAGUUUCGGCGGUUGGGGUUGGACUCGCGGCUUAUCAGCUUGUUGGUGGGGUAGUGGAUUACCAACGCUUUGACGGGUAGCCGGCCUGAGAGGGUGACAGGCCACAUUGGGAUAGAGGAACGGCCCAGACUGCUACGGGAGGCAGCAGUGGGAAAUAGUGCACGAUGGGCGGAAGCCUUAUGGAGCGACGCCGCGUGCGGGAGGACGGUCGUCGGGGUGUAAAGCGUUUUCGCCUGUGACGAAGCGUGAGUGACGGUAAUGGAUAAAGAAGCACCGGCUAACUACGUG
rnacentral:rRNA from 1 species